GUCGAAGUGGCGGAACUGGUAGACACGCAGGCCUCAGAAGCCUGUGGGAGCAAUCUCGUGGGGGUUCGAGUCCCCCCUUCGACA
rnacentral:tRNA from 1 species